rnacentral:rRNA from 1 species
UAAUUUCCGUUGAUCCUGCGGAGGGUCGCUGCUAUUAGGAUUCGAUUAAGCCAUGCAAGUCUAGAGGACGCUUGCGUCCUCGGCAAAAUGCUCAGUAACACGUCGAUAAUCUGCCCUUUGGUAAGGGAUAAUCUCGGGAAACUGAGGAUAAUACCUUAUAGGAAAUAAAUUCUGGAAUGAAUUAUUUCUCAAAGAUUACGCCAAAGGAUGAGUCGGCGGCAGAUUAGGUUGUUGGUGAGGUAAUGGCUCACCAAGCCUACGAUCUGUACGGGCCGUGAGAGCGGUAGCCCGGAGAAGGACACUGAGAUACUGGUCCUAGCCCUACGGGGUGCAGCAGGCGCGAAACCUUUACAAUGCACGAAAGUGUGAUAAGGGAAUCCUAAGUGCUUAUGUUUUACAUAGGCUUUUGCUAAGGGUAAAUACCUUGGAGAAUAAGCGGUGGGCAAGACUGGUGCCAGCAGCCGCGGUAACACCAGCGCCGCAAGUGGGGACCUCUUUUAUUGGGCCUAAAGCGUCCGUAGCUGGUUUAGUAAAUCUCUUGUGAAAUCGUUAAGCUCAACUUAACGGCAUGCAGGAGACACUGCUUUACUUGAGACCGGGAGAGGUGUGGAGUAUUUCUGGGGAACCGGUAAAAUGGGAUAAUCCUAGAAAGACUACCUGUGGCGAAGGCGCCACACCAGAACGGAUCUGACAGUGAGGGACGAAGGCUAGGGGAGCAAACCGGAUUAGAUACCCGAGUAGUCCUAGCAGUAAACGCUGCGAGCCAGGCGUUGCAUAAUCUACUGGAUUAUGCAGUGUCGUAACGAAGGUGUUAAGCUCGCCGCCUGGGAAGUAUGGUCGCAAGACUGAAACUUAAAGGAAUUGGCGGGGGAGCACCACAAGGGGUGCGGCGUGCGGUUUAAUCUAACUCAACGCAGAGAAUCUCACCAGAGGCGACGGCAGUAUGAAGGUCAGUCUGAAGGGCUUACCCGACGAGCCGAGAGGUGGUGCAUGGCCGCCGUCAGCUCGUGCUGUGAGGUGUCCUGUUAAGUCAGGUAACGAGCGAGACCUGUACCUACAAUUGCCAGCGACCAGUUUACUGGGAUCGGGCACAAUGUAGGAACUGCCUUGGAAACAAGGAGGAAGGUGCAGGCUACGGUAGGUCUGUAUGCCCCGAAUCUUCUGGGCUACACGCGCGCAACAAUGGUAAGGACAAUGGGAUGCGACUCCGAAAGGAGAAGCCAAACCUCAAAACCUUAUCUUAGUCCAGAUUGAGGACUGUAACUCGUCCUCAUGACGCCGGAAUCCCUAGUAAUCCCGUGUCAUCAUCGCGGGGUGAAUAUGUCCCUGCUCCUUGCACACACCGCCCGUCAAACCAACCGAGCAUAGUUUGGGUGAGCGCUAGUUUUUUGAUUAGUUCGAAUCCAAGCUAAGUGAGGUGGGUUAAGUCGUCACAAGGUAGCCGUAGGGGAACCUGCGGCUGGAUCACCUCCUU